GCUGAGAAGUUAUCCGUGCAAAUCGGAUCAUUUUGAUACCCAACAGCUAGCUUACUCCUCUAAACCAAACAACCC
rnacentral:tRNA from 1 species